ensembl:lncRNA
UUGGGGCAACACAGACGGGUUGGUUGUUUAGCGACAAAACCGGGGCGUGCACAUCUCUGGGGCAACACAGACGGGUUGGUUGUUUAGCGACAAAACCGGGGCGUGCGCAUCUCUGGGGCAACACAGACGGGUUGGUUGUUUAGCGACAAAACCGAGGUGUGCGCAUCUCUGGGGCAACACAGACGGGUUGGCAUAAACUGUGGACAACAUGUCAAGUCUCAAAUGUUUACUGAAAACAUUAAUACAUUUGUACAAUGAGCACUUGUUGUCUCGCAAAUAUAUUGUUGCAGUUGUUGGUUAGCUAGCUAGCUAUUUUGUUUGUUGCCAUAUUAGCAUUGACUUGAAAUCAGUCAAACAAAACAUGGUAUCAACAACAUGAUACUACGAGCUGAAACGACGUUUCCCCACAUGUCAGAUUCUUGUCAUCGUUUCACAACAAAACGUGUAUUUCUGGCCCCAUUGAAGCACAUCCUUUUGGUGACGUUGUCAGCUAACCCGUCUACAGAUGAUUCUGUAAACAUGAGUCUCCUGUUGUCGGCACCAUGUUGUUGGUUCUAAACCCCCCUCCGAAACUCUCUGGAUGUGCCCCAACGUCAGAGACAGACCUGAAUAAAAGCAGACAGCGAGCAGCUCCCCUGAUCAGGAUCGACCGGAAGUUCUGACUCACAACGUCAACAUCUCCCCUCCCCUCCUCCCCUCCCCUCCUCCUCUCCCCUCCUCA